UCAAAAUAUGGCAAGCACCAACCCCACAAAAUGACACAGUACAAGAACGGCAAGGAUUCUUUGUAUGCCUAGGAAAGGUAGCUUUAUGACCAGAAACAGAAUGGCUAUGGUGGGUCAACUAUGCCUGAAAAACAGCUAAUACUACAAAGAAGAUUGUGCUAAGAUUGGAGUGUGUUGAACCCACCUAACUGCUGAUCUAAGAACAAGCUAGCUGAUUAGUAAGAUAUACAAGCAUUUUGAACUGAAAUGUGAUAAGAUAAAGGGUCAAGUGAUACAGUUCUAA
rnacentral:lncRNA from 1 species